GCAGGCUAUCCCAGCUUGAGCAUUCUGUUAGACAUCAUCCACUACAGAGGGAGAGACAGACAGACACACAGAGGGAUAGACUCUACCUGCCAAGCUUGGAGAGAGAGCAGAAACAUCUGGUUUUUACCUCUACUCACAUGACCAAAGGAAAACCCUGGCUACAAGGCAAGAUGUCCAGAUUAUACUCAUAAGUCUGUAAAACAUUUUGGGCAUACUUGAAGAGGCAAAUUUCUAUUUGCAAAACUGUUAGAAGAAAUCAGAUACUUCAGGUGACAAGAAUGACAAAGAGAAGAAUCACUUCUGUCGGAUUAUUACAUAGAAAAAAUAUCUUGUAAACCAAAGAAUAAGAGAUGCAAUGGAAUUUGUGAAUAUAGAACUAAAUUUUAAAAAAUAAAACUAUGAAUUCUGCUUGGCAUUUCACAUAACAGUUGCCUCUACCUUCAAGAACAGAUUUUUGGAUUCUAAAAUUGCAGAGCAUGGAAGUGUCUGGCUCUGUCUUAUCCAAGUAGUGGAAUGGUGCAGGAUUUCAGGCAUAGCUUCUAUUGUGUCUUAACUAUCAUGAGUGGGACUAUUCCAGCAUGAGGGGCCAAACACUUCCCAGACCUGCAACAUGUGAAAGACCUCAUGGACAAAUGGAAAUGCUCCAGUUCUGCUGGUGAGGCAGGAAGCAGGACUGUUGAAGAAGCAGGUUAGCAGGGUUUGCACAAUGCUGUGUCAAAGGUUACAGCACUCAGAGCUUGGCUGAGGGCAGAUGUGUUCUACAAGCAAUUACUAUAUUGGGUGUUGGUCCUGCUGUGGGCCACGUUCUUGAAAGUGAGGCACAGUGGAGUCUAAAAAAUACAUGUCAAAAUUUUCAUGAGAUCCAGUCCGUGGAUGCUUAAAUAAAUGAAUCAUCAUGAAAACAAAAAGUGAAGAAUUGGCUGAAUACCAGUGUUAAAAAGUCGGUGAUUACCUGUUGACUCACAAUUGUAUUUGGUGUUUUUUGGAGAUCUGCUCUUUUGAAGAGAAUAUGUAUCAGUUGUGUGAUAACACUUCAGAAGUUUCCAAAGGUUUCAACGUUAAGAACUUAUUCCGAAAUUUCUUCUGGCUGGUAUUUUUUCAGUUUCUGAAUGAGUUGAACUGGUGUUUUUAGUGUGAUACCUUUGAGCAACAUGCUUAUAAAUAAGUUUACUGUCAACCUCUUUUUUCUCCUUUGUUGAGGCUGGGGUUCUUUUGUAAGCAGUGAGUGUUGUGAUGUGCUGGAGGCUAUGCUAUGAUAUAACAUUCAUGUAAAUCAGCAUACAUAUGGAAAGACUCAAGACCAGCUCCAGAUCUGGAGAAACCUGGAUGUAAAAUACAGAGUCUUUUGGAAAUUGGAAACUACAAUUUUAAAGUCCUGUCAUUAGGAAGUCCUCACUAAUGCUGGACAGGAUCAAAAACUUUCUCUAUUUUGGGGGUAAGAGGUUUUGUAACCUCUCAUUUUGUAACUCUGAAGAUGGAGUAUUAUCAGUAUUUGAGGUGGAAAAAAGGCAGUGGUACACAGCUAUUCCUGUCUGGCUCAAACACACUCUUGAAAAAGUGGUAAAAGGAGAAUUAUCACUGACAUCUGAGAUUGCCAGGACACACAACUAGGCUGGACAUGCCGCAUCCUCAAAUUGUUUCCUGAAAAACUUUCCUGCUUUGUUUUUACUAAGUUCAUGUAAACCUAACCAGCAUUUUUCACCCCAAUGGAUCUUGAAAAUUCCACUGAGAGGUUAUCUAAAUCAGCAUAUAAUGAAUUAUAAUAAAACUGAAUCACAGAUUUUAACUGAUAUAAAUAACAAACAUCAGACUAUACUGAUAGAUAAUUUUUAACUUGUGUCACAAAACUAUCUCCUGAUUGCAAAUUCUGCUUUACAAUAGGUGUAGUGUCCUGACUUGCUGGUAUCUGGCACACUGUGGAAAUCAACUGCUUUUACUGAAUUUGACAUGCAAUUACAACAUCAUCAUAAGUUGAACACAUGGACUGCUGGGAGACUGCAGUUUUUUUAUUCUGAUAAUUGUACUAUUUUUAAAGUAACAGUCUUCACAGAAUUACAACUAAAGCAUACCUUUGAUUUAAAAAGUUGGAAAAUUUACUUUCCUCAUAACGUGAAUUAAUAGUUAUGCUGUUGUCUGUUGUGACUUGUUGACAACUUUAUUGCCUUGGAAAAAGAGAUAUAUUCUUGCAAUAAAAUCCAUCCAUCUUUGAGUGCUAAAAAUCAGUAGAUUGGAAACUACAGGACACAUAUCAGUAGAAAUGGAAACUACAGGACAACAUUCUGGCCUGCAUGUAGAUUUUUUUUCUUCCUCAUUUUCUUUGAACAGCAAAGAGGUAAAAGAAACUGAAUUACACUUAAAGUAUUUCAGUGCCAACAUUUUUGAUAAUGCUAGACUAAUAGCAAAGGCACUUUAUGUUCAUUUAAACCUUAAAGGACUUCUAGACUCAUGAAACAUUGUAUGAAGUCUGCUAAAAUGGAGGAAGAACUGCAGUCACUUUUCAGUCAGCCUUACCAAAGAAUAAUUUCUAAAUUACCUGAACUAGGAUGGACUGAAAUAUUCCCUUCAUUGUCUUCCAUGGUAAGAAUGUGUUGAUUAUAGUUUCAUGAAAAUACAGAUAACCUAAAUAUUUAGUAAGACCCAAAGGAUUUGUUUUUUAAUAGUUGAAUAAGAUGAAAAUGAUGUGAAAAAGAAAAUAAAUUUGUUCUUGCACUUUCUUUGUAUCAUAAUGUUAUUGAAAAGGAAGGAAGAGUUUCUAUUUUCUCAGAGAAACCUUGUAAUUUAUUAUACUCUUUUACCAAAUGCAUUAUCAAAAUUUUAAAAAUUAGACACACCAGGCACACUUAAUAUAAUUCUUUAAUAUUUAAUCUUGUCAUGUAAUACUGUUAAACUAUUUAAGCCUGAAAUUUCAUCAGAUCUUUAACAGGAUUAUCUAACUAUUGCUUGAGGGAUUAAUAAGGGUUCCUUCCCCACCAUUUUCAUUCCCAGAAAAAAUGCUGGAAGUGUUAAUGAUUCACUAGGUGUCACUCUUAUCUCUAUGAAACUGCCGAGAGAAGACGAUUCCAGCAUGGCAGAAGACAACAUUCCCUUCUGGAAAUGCAAUCUCAGCUGGAAUAUAAAGCCAUAGCCCUGAUAACUUGUAGAAAUUAAGAAGUCCUCACCCUUUUUCAGAUGAGCUGGACCAUUGCUAAUCACAGCAAAUUGCAUCUUGUCAUAAUUGCCUUCUUGCUUGUUUAAAUAUUUUUUUUUAAUUUAAAAUCAAAUAUGAUUCACAUUUCUUUCUAAAACCAGUACUGGCAUAUAGACUCGCCUGCAUUACUCUUCACCUAAAGGCACCAUUUUUAUUGGUUAGAAGCUUAUCUCAAGAGACACUGUACCUCAUUUAAUAAAGCAUUAAAAUAUUUAAAUGAAAAUGAGAGGUGGUAGGUAAUAAAUACUGUAUAGGAGAAGACAAGCACAAGAUAUAUGCCCCAGAAUGUGGCUGUCAUUGGAAUUGUGAAAUUAUGGUGAGCUACUUUUUACCUCCCCAAAUUUCCUUGGUGGGAGGUGGUCUUUAUCUAAAUAGUAGGUCCAUUCCAAGGGACCUCAUUCACCACUGAGAUGACCCAGCUCAGCCUUCCACCUCUCAAAACCAAAGUUUAUUUGGCCUCACUGUGUUCUGCCUGAGCUCUUCCUCUUUGCAUAGAUACACUGAGAAUAUUUCCCUACCUUAGUUUUCAGAACCAUUUUAAGGCAGGUAAGGAAAUGUAUGUUCCAGUCUCUAAUAUCCCUUUAAAUAUUAAGCAAGACUGAGAAAGACUCAUCCAGAAGUUUAUUCAUCUGUUGGUUAAAAAAUACUGGACUGGAGCUCCAACAUCCGCAUGUGGGGUUAACAUAUCACAGCUGUCAAUGUCAUAAAGAACUGUUCAACUCUGCUCCUAUUCUGUGAAUCCAGCCUCUUGUUUCUUUGGCCAGUAUUAGAAGGACUAUAAAAUGAAAUAUUUUUCACUGUAAUUUUCAAGAAAAUAAAAGUCCAAAGCAAAAAUUAUUUAUGGUCCAUUUAUCUCACUGUAUAUAUAUUUUUUUAAGCAAGAUAAAGGCAGGGUAGACUUGACACUGAGGUUGUUUAGUCUCUUGUUCAUGAGGCUUCAGACAAACUAUCCAGGUUUAUAUUUGUCCCUUUUUGAAUUGUGACAGGCACUGGAAGAGUUUUGGACUGAGAAAAGAGAUUUCUAUUGUUUUUUUUACAGUUUUAACUUAUUACUUUUUCAAAUAAUAUAUCGUGUUCCAUUAAUGUGAUUGGAAAGGGAUUUGUGGAAGAAAGUAGGCUACAUAAUAAUCAAGGUAAGACAGUAUUGCCGAAAAACAGAUUUUAUUUGUAGAAGUCUUCAAAUAAAACGUCUGCAUUAUUGAUUCUUUUGAGAUAGUAUCCACAGAACCAUGCAAAGAUUUAUGUUUCUGCUUCCUGUUUGCUGCAAAUGCGUACAAAGACAAAAAUACUCUCCUCAAAUGCUUUAAAUCUAAAACAGCUUACAUAGAGAAAGGGAUGGACAGGUAAAGAUUCAGAAUGGCGAAGGCUACAUGGGAAUUUAAUUAUUUAUUCUUUUAGUACAGGCCUACACGUCAACAAAUAAAAAUGUAAAGACCAAGUUAUUUUGCUGCUCAAAUAGAUAUGACCAUUAACAUGGGGAUGUUCUAUUCUUCCUUUCGCUUUCACAUUGUUUCAUGUCACUCCACUGUUCUCUUAUAACAAAAAAUACUUCCCGAUGUCCAAUUUUUUCUCCCGAAACAAGUAUCUCAUGAAUAAUCUAGGAAAUAUAUUGCAGGUGUUUUUAUGUAUCCACUUGUUAGAAUGGAUGCAGAAAAAAGAUUUUAUAUUUUAGUUGUGUAAUAACUGGUUAAAAGGAUAGGAAGAGAGUUUAAAUCUCAGUAGAUGUGCAAGAAGGAAGAGGUAGGAAAACUUUGUUGCUAUGGUACUAUAUAACCUGAAAACCUUGGAUUUGGGAAAAUGCAAAGAGUUCAGUGAUGUAUACGCUAAGGAAUGAGGUCUUGCUGGAGGAUCUUCAUUUAAAAAUGAGGUGAUGUGGGCAGCUGAUGAUCCUGUAUCAGCCUGAGGUGAAUCAUAUCAGUUUUGUCCCCUCUAGAGAGCCACUUCCAUAAUGAAGUUGAGAACGCCAUUAUGAAAAUUUUGUUCAGCUGCAACUAUUAAUAUGGCUGUUUAUUUAGCUCAGUUAGUUUUUUAUCUGUGAGAUUCUGGAAUCAGAAAAAAAUGGCUACAAUGACAUACCCAGUUGCUUCCUUCUUCGUACUGAACAUUUACAACUUUACAAGGGUAUUCUGCAUAAUUACUUCAGCCCCUUGAUUUGCUUAUAGAUAAUGUUUUCAGUUUAGUAGUAUUUAAACUAUUUAUAAAUAAACUUUUACAUAUCUUA